rnacentral:tRNA from 1 species
GUCUUCAGUAGCGAUUGAGAGGCGCGUCGGCCUCCGAAGCCGAAGGUUGCAGGUUCGAAUCCUGCCGGGGACGC